GCAGAGGCAGAAGUUACUCUGGGGGUGAAUCUCGGGACACCGCCGAAACCGACUGGGAAGGAAAAAAAGGCAACUCAGUGUUGUAUGCAAACGUCGGCAAACAAACAGAAAGCUUUACAAAACACGGAAAGGGGCAUCCAGACUUUACCAGAGCCAGCCUCCCCUCAGGUGUAAGUUCGCGAGGGUAACAGAAUGGCCGGCAUCCACUGAGCCUCUGCUACUACAUUUAGAAAACCUAUAAAGUGGAGCUUACUUAAUAGAAUGCCAGGAAAAUUCCCCAAAGAUGCAGAAACUGGUAACUCAGGUCAGGAAAUGGCAGAACGAGGAUUUGAACCCACAUCUGUCUGUCUACCCAGCCUACAAUUUUUCCAUUCUGCUGAAAGCUGGGAGGAACCUUAGGCAGUGUCUCAUCCGCUGGUUUUCAAACCGGAUUCUAAGGAACGCGAGGCUCUCCAGGAAGUGCUUUAGGAAUCUUUGGGGAAGAACUGGGAAAGAGGACAUGUGUUGGGAGGCCAGGUAAGUUGGGCUUGGCCCCAGUCAUUGGAUUCAAACAAAGAAGCUUCAUUUCUAUCUGUUUUAUAGUGACUUUAAGUUUUGUUUGAAAUAAGGGUUUUGCUACUAAAAAGUUAUUUUAAAACUCUUGAUCUAGGGGCUCCUAGGUGGCUCAGUCGGUUAAACAUCCGACUC